rnacentral:rRNA from 1 species
AGAUUGAACGCUGGCGGCAGGCCUAACACAUGCAAGUCGAGCGGUAGAGAGGUGCUUGCACCUCUUGAGAGCGGCGGACGGGUGAGUAAUGCCUAGGAAUCUGCCUAGUGGUGGGGGAUAACGUUCGGAAACGGACGCUAAUACCGCAUACGUCCUACGGGAGAAAGCGGGGGACCUUCGGGCCUCGCGCCAUUAGAUGAGCCUAGGUCGGAUUAGCUAGUUGGUGAGGUAAUGGCUCACCAAGGCGACGAUCCGUAACUGGUCUGAGAGGAUGAUCAGUCACACUGGAACUGAGACACGGUCCAGACUCCGUACGGGAGCAGCAGUGGGGAAUAGUUGGACAA